AACGAACGCUGGCGGCAUGCCUAACACAUGCAAGUCGAACGGAUGUAGCAAUACAUCAGUGGCGGACGGGUGAGUAACACGUGGGAACCUGCCCAGAAGUGAGGAAUAACCAAGGGAAACCUUGGCUAAUACCGCAUACGCCCUACGGGGCAAAGGCUUCGGCCGCUUCUGGAGGGGCCCGCGUCCGAUUAGCUAGUUGGUGGGGUAACGGCCUACCAAGGCAAUGAUCGGUAGCUGGUCUGAGAGGACGAUCAGCCACACUGGGACUGAGACACGGCCCAGACUCCUACGGGAGGCAGCAGUGGGGAAUAUUGGACAAUGGGGGAAACCCGUGAUCCAGCGAUGCCGCGUGAGUGAUGAAGGCCUUAGGGUUGUAAAGCUCUUUCGCCCACGACGAUGAUGACGGUAGUGGGAGAAGAAGCCCCGGCUAACUUCGUGCCAGCAGCCGCGGUAAUACGAAGGGGGCUAGCGUUGUUCGGAAUUACUGGGCGUAAAGCGCGCGUAGGCGGU
rnacentral:rRNA from 1 species